GAGUGGCGGACGGGUGAGUAACACGUAGGUAACCCGCCUAGAAGCGGGGGACAACAUUUGGAAACAGAUGCUAAUACCGCAUAACAGCGUUGUUCGCAUGAACAACGCUUAAAAGAUGGCUUCUCGCUAUCACUUCUGGAUGGACCUGCGGUGCAUUAGCUUGUUGGUGGGGUAACGGCCUACCAAGGCGAUGAUGCAUAGCCGAGUUGAGGGACUGAUCGGCCACAAUGGGACUGAGACACGGCCCAUACUCCUACGGGAGGCAGCAGUAGGGAAUCUUCCACAAUGGGCGCAAGCCUGAUGGAGCAACACCGCGUGAGUGAAGAAGGGUUUCGGCUCGUAAAGCUCUGUUGUUAAAGAAGAACACGUAUGAGAGUAACUGUUCAUACGUUGACGGUAUUUAACCAGAAAGUCACGGCUAACUACGUGCCAGCAGCCGCGGUAAUACGUAGGUGGCAAGCGUUAUCCGGAUUUAUUGGGCGUAAAGAGAGUGCAGGCGGUUUUCUAAGUCUGAUGUGAAAGCCUUCGGCUUAACCGGAGAAGUGCAUCGGAAACUGGAUAACUUGAGUGCAGAAGAGGGUAGUGGAACUCCAUGUGUAGCGGUGGAAUGCGUAGAUAUAUGGAAGAACACCAGUGGCGAAGGCGGCUACCUGGUCUGCAACUGACGCUGAGACUCGAAAGCAUGGGUAGCGAACAGGAUUAGAUACCCUGGUA
rnacentral:rRNA from 1 species